rnacentral:rRNA from 1 species
ACAGCAGUCGCCGCGGUAAUACGAGGGGGGCAAGCGUUGUUCGGAAUUAUUGGGCGUAAAGGGUGCGUAGGCGGUUUGAUAAGCUUGGCGUGAAAUCUAUGGGCUCAACCCAUAGCCUGCACCGAAAACUGUCGGACUUGAGUAUGGGAGAGGUGAGUGGAAUUUCCGGUGUAGCGGUGAAAUGCGUAGAUAUCGGAAGGAACACCUGUGGCGAAAGCGGCUCACUGGACCAUUACUGACGCUGAUGCACGAAAGCUAGGGGAGCAAACAGGAUUAGAUACCCGUGUAGUCCCUGUCUCUUAUAU